rnacentral:rRNA from 1 species
GACGAACGCUGGCGGCGUGCUUAACACAUGCAAGUCGAACGGAAAGGCCCUGCUUUUGUGGGGUGCUCGAGUGGCGAACGGGUGAGUAACACGUGAGUAACCUGCCCUUGACUUUGGGAUAACUUCAGGAAACUGGGGCUAAUACCGGAUAGGAGCUCCUGCUGCAUGGUGGGGGUUGGAAAGUUUCGGCGGUUGGGGAUGGACUCGCGGCUUAUCAGCUUGUUGGUGGGGUAGUGGCUUACCAAGGCUUUGACGGGUAGCCGGCCUGAGAGGGUGACCGGCCACAUUGGGACUGAGAUACGGACCAGACUCCUACGGGAGGCAGCAGUGGGGAAUAUUGCACAGUGGGCGGGAGCCUGAUGCAGCGACGCCGCGUGCGGGAUGACGGCCUUCGGGUUGUGAACCGCUUUCGCCUGUGACGAAGCGUGAGUGACGGUAAUGGGUAAAGAAGCACCGGCUAACUACGUG